rnacentral:rRNA from 1 species
AACGAACGCUGGCGGCAUGCCUAACACAUGCAAGUCGAACGAGACCUUCGUAUGUACUGGCGCACGCGGGCGUAACGCGUCGGAACCGUCCCUUAUGCUCGGGAUUACUCUCCGACAGGGGUGCUAACGCCGGGUAAUGUCCUCUGACCAAACAUUUGUCGUCCUUGGGUGGGCAGGCGUUGGACUAGCUAGUUGCUAUGGUAAAAGCCGACCAAGGAGACGAUCCAUAGCUGGGCUGAGAAGACGAUCAGCCACACUGGGAGUGAGACACGGGCCGGACUCCUACGAGAAGGAGCAGAGGGGAAUAUUGGACAAUCGGCGAAAGUGUGAACCAGCAAUGGCGCGUGAGGGAUGAAGGCCUUAGGGGUGAAAAGCCCUUUUAACAGGGAUGAUAAUUAAAGUAACGGGAGAAUAAACUCCGGGUUAACCCGUUG